rnacentral:rRNA from 1 species
GACGAACGCUGGCGGCGUGCCUAAUACAUGCAAGUUGAGCGCUGAAGGUUGGUACUUGUACCAACUGGAUGAGCAGCGAACGGGUGAGUAACGCGUGGGGAAUCUGCCUUUGAGCGGGGGACAACAUUUGGAAACGAAUGCUAAUACCGCAUAAAAACUUUAAACACAAGUUUUAAGUUUGAAAGAUGCAAUUGCAUCACUCAAAGAUGAUCCCGCGUUGUAUUAGCUAGUUGGUGAGGUAAAGGCUCACCAAGGCGAUGAUACAUAGCCGACCUGAGAGGGUGAUCGGCCACAUUGGGACUGAGACACGGCCCAAACUCCUACGGGAAGCAGCAGUAGGGAAUCUUCGGCAAUGGACGAAAGUCUGACCGAGCAACGCCGCGUGAGUGAAGAAGGUUUUCGGAUCGUAAAACUCUGUUGGUAGAGAAGAACGUUGGUGAGAGUGGAAAGCUCAUCAAGUGACGGUAACUACACAGAAAGGGACGGCUAACUACGUG